rnacentral:lncRNA from 1 species
AGGUUGGACGCACUCUCGGGCCCCGAGGCUGCGAGGGAGGGCAAAGCGCAGGUGGAGCCGCGCUGGAACCCGAGCGCGCCAGCCCGGCGCAGGCGCUCCUGCCGUCCCUGUGCGCGGCCCCGCAGCCGGAGCGGAGGCUGCGGCCGGGAACUCGUUCGGGGGACCGGCGAGGGGUGUCAGGGGGAGAGGGCGGCAAGCGGGGACGUGCUCCCGCCUCUGGCCGCCCAGGCCCGGGAGAUUGUUCCGCUUUCGGGAGUCUGAGUGGCAGGCGACUCGGCUGCCGGCUGUGGGCCCUGAGGGAGGCGAGUGCCGACUGCUUCCCGGCGCGCGCGCGCUCCCUUCUCCGCCUUCUUCCGCCCAAUCGGAGGAGCGGGAGAGCGGGUUACAGCUCCUUAGAUUCAUCCCGGAGGUGGGUGUUCAGUGUCUGGCCUUGUUGGCCGGGUGCCCAGAAGGUGAGCCCUUUAACUUCUCCAGAAACGCCUCCUCUCCGCCUCCGUCCCGCGCCGGGUGGGCCGCGCUGGGAGCCCCACGGGGUGGGGUGGGGAGGUGAAGGCUCAGGCCCCGCCUCCCGCGUCUGGGGGAGGGAGCUGGGGCCGCAGGUGCACCCAGCCCGCCGCGGGCCGUCUCUGGGAAGUGCACGGCUGUCUGUAACGUGCUGCCUGGUCCCAGGAUGGAGGAGUGAAGUCCUGCCUCGCCGCGGUUCCAGCCUCCGGAGCCCGCCGAAGCCGAGUCCCCGGAGAGAGUACCCUGAGGGAGCAGGGUGACCUCCUGGUCCAGGUGCAGCUGUGAAAAUUACUUAAGUGAGAAUGGUUCGGGGCUAAGGACUGUGAAUGGAGGAAAGAAAUAAUCCUCUCAUUAUUUUAAAUACGGAAAAACAGGAUUAUGUACAACCCUGCGCUUUCACCCGGAAAGAACAGGUAGCAUAAUAGGUUAUCUUUGCUUUUAUAAUGUAAACCAUAAUGCUUUAAUAGCUACUCUUAGGAAAAGAUUGGCAGGCUCUAAUUUCUACUUGCCUUUUCAUCCAUUUAUUUCAUGAUGAUUCCUCUGCGUGUUCAAUCAUUUGCUCAUUGAAAAAAGUGAGAGCUUGUGGUUAGCUUUGCCACAAAUGCCCAGUGUGAGAUCUAGAUAUUACAGCACUGCAUUAUAAACAGUGAAGUGAAGAUUUUUAAAUGACAAAAAUUACUUUGAAAGUACCCUG